rnacentral:misc_RNA from 1 species
CCUACUUCUAUACAUCUUGAGUAUUAAGAUUAAAAAAUAAUAAUAAUAACAAUAAUAAUGUGGCCUAUAUUGUUGUUUAUUAGGAAAAUAUGCAUAGUGCCUGGCCAUAAAUAUUAGAAAAUGAAUUUGGGAUGAAGUCAUUCCAGGAAAAAUGUUUGUAAUUGGGGCUUGUGUGAGGCUGAGGGAUCAUUGUGCCUAGUUAAAUCUGUUUAUUUUGUUCUCUUGUAUUGGUAUGUAGUUUUAGCUUUUAUCAUCUUACAGUCCAUGAUGUCAUUUUUUUUUUUUUUUUUACAUUUUGCCCCCUCAAGGUUGAUGGAUUGGAAAAUUGCUAACUUAGUAGUGUGCUGGAUAUGAUAUAAUCAUAUAGAUACCCAAAUCAAUGAGGCAUAGACAUAAUCUAAUGAUCACGACAAAAGGUUGUAAUGUUGAAAAAAUAUAUGAAUAAUUUGUCUUUGAAUCAAAACCAACUGGAUUUUUGUUGCUUCCACCAUUUUAUUCUGUAUUGCAUUUAAUUAGUUAUGAAUUUUCAAGUGGGUGCUUUUGCUGGCCUCUUCCUCUUUGUCACAGCUUGCUGUCUUACUGUGUGUUAAAAUUGUGCUUUGUAAUGUAAAUCACGUUAGUUCAAAUUCUCAUUUCUUAUCUUUUGCUUUUGUCUUUUUGCUUUCUUUUUGUUGGAUGCAUUUUUCCAGAUAGAUAGUUAAACAAUCAACUGGCUGU